UAGCGAAACGGCCCCGCAUGGGGCCGUCGUCGGAGCGUGGCGGCUCCGGCCUGAUGAUGCAGCCUAGA
rfam:Bilophila wadsworthia 3_1_6 genomic scaffold acCls-supercont2.2, whole genome shotgun sequence.